rnacentral:rRNA from 1 species
GUGGGGAAUCUUAGACAAUGGGGGAAACCCUGAUCUAGCCAUGCCGCGUGAGCGAUGAAGGCCUUAGGGUUGUAAAGCUCUUUCAGCUGGGAAGAUAAUGACGGUACCAGCAGAAGAAGCCCCGGCUAACUCCGUGCCAGCAGCCGCGGUAAUACGGAGGGGGCUAGCGUUGUUCGGAAUUACUGGGCGUAAAGCGCGCGUAGGCGGACCAGAAAGUUGGAGGUGAAAUCCCAGGGCUCAACCUUGGAACUGCCUUCAAACUCCUGGUCUGGAGUUCGAGAGAGGUGAGUGGAAUUCCGAGUGUAGAGGUGAAAUUCGUAGAUAUUCGGAGGAACACCAGUGGCGAAGGCGGCUCACUGGCUCGAUACUGACGCUGAGGUGCGAAAGCGUGGGGAGCAAACAGGAUUAGAAACCCCGGUAGUCC